GUCUAUGGCCAUACCACCCUGAACGCACGCGUUCUCAUCUGAUCUUAGAAGCUAAUCAGGGUCAGGCCUGGUUAGUAUUUGGAUGGGAGACCGCCUGUAAAUACCAGCUGCUGUGGCCU
ensembl:rRNA 5S_rRNA 5S ribosomal RNA